ACAAAAUUCGGACCGUCGGUCUACUGAGCAAUAUCAGCCGCUGGAAGAAGAAGCUGGUGGAAGAUCUUCCCUUUGUCAU
rnacentral:pre_miRNA from 1 species